ACAGUGUUGGAAAAAUGCUUGUAUGUUAAAUAGCUAAAAUAGGCAUGUUAAGCCUUUAGUAUUUUACUAAAGCAAAGUCCCCUGUUGGCGCAUCUUUGGAGCCCUUUCAAUCUUUUCUUUAGGAAAAUAUUUUAUUUCUUAAUAGAAAAUUAAAACUGAAAGUAGACAUUGCUGAAAACAAAUAAAUAUUACGAAAAAUAAGUCUUUAACGUGGCUUUUCACAAAUAGGUAAGCAAAGUUUUAUUAUCAAGAUGAUGGUCUGAGGCGAAGACUGCCCAGAUAUUUGGCUGAACAAGUAAUUUUUUCCUAAAUGUUGAAAUUUCAGCUCAUUUUUUUCCCCCAUAUGUUUGACCUGCAGCCUAGCAACUCUUUCAUGUGGACAUUUGUACCCAAAGCAUUCCCAGCCAUGUGAGCCUCUUCUCAGCACAGGAAAGUACAGAGACCCCACUGGAUUGGGAUACCACAUGGGAGAGAUUUCCAGGAGGUCUCCAGCUAAGAUGCCAACAAAGUCAUCUUUGAAGCCUUCAGAGAAGGGGCAGGUUAAUGCCACGUUCUCCUGAACUCAAUCUUAAUUUUUUUUCUGACCUCACUCCUGCCGUAUUCCCCAAACCUGCAGAAGGAUCAGUACCACAAAGUUCCUGAGGUGUGAGGAUAAGAAUUCAGUGUUCAAAGCUCUGUGGGCAACUCACUGCCUGAAAAGCUUCUGCCCAUGGGAAGGGAAGCUGAAGCAGAGGCUGUGAGGAUUUCUUGCACUGACAUUGGGCAGACGUAAGAGUAAGGAAAGGAGGACAGAAAUGAAAUGUGGAUGCUACUGGCAAAUCACACAGAUGCAAAGGAGCACAUGAUUGGAAGAGAAACAGCUGCAUGUUGGUAUUGCUGAGGUGUGUGUUGUGAGAAUGACCUGCUUCAGUGUGAAGGCUAAAGCAAAAUUUAAUGGUGAAAGGACACCAAAGAAAUGGGAUUGAAAGAGUAUUGGAAGAGUUUUCUUCAGUAGCUUUUCCACGUGAUAAUUAUUAAUCGGAGAAAUUAAAUAGGGCAACCAAAGGUAACAGAAAUGAUAGCAAAUUUCCCUUUCCAAAGCAAAACAGAGUAUUGAGGAAAAAUAGAGAAAAUGCCAAUGGUCCUCAAAGAUUGGAAAGGGAAAAGGCAUGUUUGCAAGGAUAUGGUUUGAAAAACUCAUCACAAAUAAGUACUGAAUUUGUUUGGGGAAGAGCUCUUCAUAGAUUUCUAUCACUGUGUGCUGUGCUGUUGUAACUGACAAUUUCUGGGGUUAGAAAAGAAGGGUGACAAUAGGUUACGUAUGAUGAAAAGGUUCCCAAAAGCUAUGGGAAGUAAAGUUUAUCUUUCAAAUAUUCAGAGACAUUUGAAGGUGUUUCCUUUACUAGCAGUUGUAAUUUGGUAAGCGCAGGGUAAUGAGAUCAGAUGGGGGUAUUUUGUUUCUGUGUGUCUGUGCUGCCUCCCCACCCUGACAAAAAGCAUUACAAAGGAAGAAGCGAUAUUACAGCCUUGUGGUAAGAAAUCACAUGUUGAGUUCAGAUGCCAACAGCGUUCGUUCAAAUA
ensembl:lncRNA